GACGAACGCUGGCGGCGUGCUUAAUACAUGCAAGUCGAACGGAAAGGCCCUGCUUUUGUGGGGUGCUCGAGAGCCGAAGGGGUGAGUAACACGUGAGUAACCUGCCCUUGACUUUGGGAUAACAUCAGGAAACUGGGGCUAAUACCGGAUAGGAGCUCCUGCUGCAUGGUGGGGGUUGGAAAGAUUCGGCGGUUGGGGAUGGAAUCGCGGCUUAUCAGCUUGUUGGUGAAGUAGUGGCUUACCAAGGCUUUGGCGGGUAGCCGGCCUGAGAGGGGGACCGGCCACAUUGGGACUGAGAAACGGCCCAGACUCCUACGGUACGCAGCAGUGGAGAAUCUUCCACACUGGGGGGCAGCCUGUUACAGCCACGCCGCGUGCGGUAUAACGGCCUUCGGGUUGUAAACCGCUUUCGCCUUUGACGAACCAUGAGUGACGGUAAUGGGUAAAGAAGCACCGGCUAACUACGUG
rnacentral:rRNA from 1 species